ensembl:lncRNA
AUGGAAGGAAGGCAGGAAGGAAGGAAGGCAGGAGGAGAGGUGAGAGGGGGUGGAGUGGCCCUCCACGGGCACGGGGGACCCCAGGGAGAGAGAGAACGGCGGCGGCGGCGGCGCGGGCCUGCCCCGAAGGGACCCGCCCGCCAAGGCGCCCUCAGGGAGCGGAAUCUCCGGGAUCGCCGGGUGGCGGGCGGGCGGGCGGGCGGCCUGGCCCUCUCCCAGGGCACGCUCUCCUGACGCUCCGCCCACGCACCCCUGUGGCAGGAAGGCCUCCUUCCCCGGAGGCCUUGAGGGGCCGUGGGGAGGCCUUGGGCGGGGUCCAUGUUGACAUCCCUGUCGAGUGACGCCCAGGGCGGGAGGGAGGGAGGGAGGGAGGGAGGGAGGGGAAAGGGCUGUUGUUGGCUUGGGACAAGCAGGGAGAAGGCUGCCAUCCACCCCCUGACUGACAUCCAGCAUUGAGGAUUGAAAGAGCUCUAAAACCAGGACAGUAAGUCAAGAACAAAGCUCUGGAAACAGGGGGAUUCCAGGCACGGAACAGUCAGGGCCAGCGAAGGAUUCCCCCAGGCAGGAAUCAGCCUCGGGGCUGCAAGGCCAUUCAGUGCUCAUCAGUGAUAAUAAUAAUAACUAUUUAUAUACCACCCUAGCUCCCAAAAGGGACUCAGUGCAGUUUACAACAAUAAACACAACAUACAAUACAUAGCAAUAUAAAAACACAUUAUUCCACAAAAUAAAAUUUUACACUAACAAUGACAACCAAUGAUAAUCACAACCGCUUCCAAUCGAGGGGGGGGGGGCAAGGAUAAAUAAUCCCAUUGAUUAACAUAGUCCAUAAUCAGGAGAAGAUGAGACUGUGCCGUAUAUUUUGUGUGGAAGUCGGUGGGAUCGGGAUUCCUGGCAGCAUUCCCACUCCCCCCAGCAGACAAGAGCCCUUCCUCCCUCCGCCCUGGACAUCAUCCCACAGGGAUACAAACCCCACUGGCCUCGUUUCCAACAGGCCUCACCACCUCUGAAGAUGCCUGCCAUAGAUGUGGGUGAAACAUCAGGAGAGAAUGCUUCUGGAACAUGGCCACAGAGCCCGAAAGAUUCUGGCCAUGAAAGCUUUCCUUGGACAACACGUUUCUGCAAAUAUUUUUGAAAACGUUUUGUGAUUAAUCUCUGGGAGGAAUUUAAUGUAUAUUUCAGCAAAUAUAUUUGUGAAUAUUUUUUGCUUCUAAAUAGUUAUAAUAAUAAUAAACUUUAUUUGUGUCCCAGCCCCUCUCCCAAAAGGGACUCAGGGCAGCCCACAAUGAAAACACAAUAUACGUACUCAUAGUAGCAACCAAGACAACACAGAUCGUAGUCCAAAAACAAAAAGCAGCUGUAAAAAAAUUAGAUUACAACAUCAAAACAUCACAAGGUAUACAGUUUUGUGCUGGAAUAAAACAUACUAUAUAUAAGAGGGGAAAACCCAUUAAAAUAAAUACUUUUCAUCAAUAACAACAACAACAACACUUUUAUAUUCUGCCCUAUCUCUCUCCCCAAAGGAACACAGGGCAGAUCACAGGACACAUACACAGCAUUCAAUGCCAUUUGGACAGACAUAAGAGAACAUAACAGAACUGAAGGGAGGACUAUAAAUACUGUAAAUAGAUAAUAAUAAUAACAGUCAGGAAGGAGGUAUCUUGUCCUGAAGUCCAGUUUUUGGUGCCUUGGAGGUUGAGCUUGUGCUGUUGCUCCCUUCUCUAUGAUGAAGAGCCACCAGGACUUCCUCCUUCCACCUUCCUUUCAGUCACUGCAUUUCUGGUCUUGUUUUUUUAUGGUGUCGUAAAACACCUUCCCCGCCAUUUGCGGUAUCUUGAUUUCUCUACUUACAGCUGUAAACUGUUUUUGAACUGCUUAGGUAAAGAGUAAGCUGGGCUUGACGGUCGGGUGCUCACCCCGACCUGGCUUGGAACUGGCCACCUUUCGGUUGGUAAAUCUUAUUACUGCUGGUUAUUUACCAGCUGUGCUACAGCCCAGCCCAGUAUUGUAAUUUAUCUUUUAAUAUAUUUAAAUUGAAUUAAUAUAUUUAAAUAAAUAUUUUGGGGAAUAUUUUAAUUAAUAUUUUAAUCAAUGAUUUUAUCAAUGUAUUGCUGGAAUCAUUGGGGUUUCCGAGCUGUGUGACCAAUGUGUUCUAGCAGUAAUUUCUUCUGACGUUUCGCCCACAUGUCUUGCCGGCAUCUUCAAAGACUCUGAUGGGGUUCAAGGUAGAGGAGGGCCCGAUCGGGGUGUUGGGUGGCCAUCUGUGCUUGACGGGUCCAAGUAUGGAAAUGGGAAGCUGUUGCUACUGCCAGCUUUCCUGACCCCUGGAAGGCAAAGGGUCCCGCUGGCUGGCCGCCCCCACCAACCACCCCACAGAGGCCCACCCACCCUUUGAAAGGAGGAAAGGGGUUGGGGCAUAAGUAGGAUGCCCGGGGGUCCGAGGCUUUCUUGGGGAGGAAAAAUGGGGUUUUACACAAAUAAUUAAGAAGAAAAGAUGUAAAUAAUUUAAAAUAUUCAAGUACAGCAAAGCUAGCGGCUUCUUUCCCCCACCCCCAAAGCCCCAGCUCGCUCCCCAGCCAAACCCACCCCCACCAUUUCAGAAAUCCCAGAUCCUUCCCUUCAAAGGAAAAAUUAAAAAAUAUGCCACGCAGUCAGGCAAAAAUUAAAAUGCAAAUCUUUGCCCACCAGCAAGGCAAGGCAAAAUUCAAGGCAAGGAAGCGAAGAGAGAUAGCAAGCCAGCCCAGCUCAGCAGCAGCAGCAAAGGACGCAACCGCAAUGGCCGUUUUAGGGGCAGCCCCCCCCCCCUUAAAUAACCUGUCCACGUCAUUGUUUCCUUGGCCUCUUAUUGGCCAAAGAUCACCU